rnacentral:rRNA from 1 species
UACGUAGGGAGCGAGCGUUGUCCGGAAUUACUGGGUUUAAAGGGUGCGUAGGCGGGCAUUUAAGCCGGCGGUCAAAUGUCGGGGCUCAACCCCGGCCCGCCGUUGAAACUGGCUUGCUUGAGUUGGAGAGAAGUAGGCGGAAUGCGCGGUGUAGCGGUGAAAUGCUUAGAUAUCGCGCAGAACUCCGAUUGCGAAGGCAGCCUACCGGCUCCAGACUGACGCUGAGGCACGAAAGCGUGGGUAUCGAA